rnacentral:rRNA from 1 species
AGGACGAACGCUGGCGGCGUGCUUAACACAUGCAAGUCGAGCGGAAAGGCCCUUCGGGGUACUCGAGCGGCGAACGGGUGAGUAACACGUGAGUAAUCUGCCCCUAGCUCUGGGAUAGCUCCGGGAAACCGGGAUUAAUACCGGAUACGACCACCUUAGACAUCUUUUGUGGUGGAAAGAAUUUCGGCUAGGGAUGAGCUCGCGGCCUAUCAGCUUGUUGGUGGGGUAACGGCCUACCAAGGCGACGACGGGUAGCCGGCCUGAGAGGGCGACCGGCCACACUGGGACUGAGACACGGCCCAGACUCCUACGGGAGGCAGCAGUCGGGAAUAUUGCACAAUGGGCGGAAGCCUGAUGCAGCGACGCCGCGUGAGGGAUGACGGCCUUCGGGUUGUAAACCUCUUUCAGCAGGGACGAAGCGCAAGUGACGGUACCUGCAGAAGAAGCGCCGGCCAACUACGCGCCAGCAGCCGC